AUUGAACGCUGGCGGCAGGCCUAACACAUGCAAGUCGAACGAGUGGCGGACGGGUGAGUAAUGUCUGGGAAACUGCCUGAUGGAGGGGGAUAACUACUGGAAACGGUAGCUAAUACCGCAUACCAUCGGAUGUGCACAGAUGGGAUUCGCUAGUAGGUGGGGUAAUGGCUCCCCUCGGCGACGAUCCCUAGCUGGUCUGAGAGGAUGACCAGCCACACUGGAAAGGAGACACGGUCCAUACUCCUACGGGAGGCAGCAGUGGGGAAGAUUUCCAAAAGGGCGCAAGCCUGAUGCAGCCAUGCCGGGUGUGUGAAGGAGGCCCUCGGGUUGGAAAGCACUUUCAGCGAGGAGGCGUUAAUCGCAGAAGAAGCACCGGCUAACUCCGUGGCAGCAGCCGCGGUAAGAC
rnacentral:rRNA from 1 species